GUGCCAGCCGCCGCGGUAAUACGGAGGAUCCGAGCGUUAUCCGGAUUUACUGGGUUUAAAGGGUGCGUAGGCGGGUGGCUCAGUCGGCGGUGAAAUGCAGCGGCUCAACCGUUGCCCUGCCGUCGAAACUGGCCGCCUUGAAUUCGGUCGAGGCCGGCGGAAUGCGCGGUGUAGCGGUGAAAUGCUUAGAUAUCGCGCGGAACGCCGAUUGCGGAGGCAGCUGGCUGGACCGAGAUUGACGCUGAUGCACGACAGCGUGGGGAUCGAACAGGAUUAGAUACCCUGGUAGUCCACGCCGUAAACGAUGAUGGCUGGGUGUUGGCGAUACACUGUCAGCGCCUGAGCGAAAGCAUUAAGCCAUCCACCUGGGGAGUACGAUCGCAAGGUUGAAACUCAAAGAAAUUGACGG
rnacentral:rRNA from 1 species